UACGUAGGGUGCAAGCGUUGUCCGGAAUUAUUGGGCGUAAAGAGUUCGUAGGCGGCUUGUUACGUCGACUGUGAAAACCCGGGGCUCAACUCCGGGCCUGCAGUCGAUACGGGCUGGCUUGAGUGCGGUAGGGGAGACUGGAAUUCCUGGUGUAGCGGUGAAAUGCGCAGAUAUCAGGAGGAACACCGGUGGCGAAGGCGGGUCUCUGGGCCGUAACUGACGCUGAGGAGCGAAAGCGUGGGGAGCGAACAGG
rnacentral:rRNA from 1 species